GACAGAGGUGCCGAGCGUUAGGCGGAAUCACUGGGCUUAAAGCGUGUGUAGGCGGAUCUGAUAAGUACCUUGUGAAAUCCCACGGCUCAACCGUGGAACUGCUUGGUAUACUGCGGGUCUUGAGCCACCUAGGGGCAAGUGGAACAAACGGUGGAGCGGUGAAAUGCGUAGAUAUCGUUUGGAACGCCAAUGGUGAAAACAACUUGCUGGGGGUGUGCUGACGCUGAGACACGAAAGCCAGGGGAGCAAACGGGG
rnacentral:rRNA from 1 species